rnacentral:rRNA from 1 species
GGUGAUGGCGUGCCUUUUGAAGAAUGAGCCUGCGAGUUAGCGGCAUGUCGCGAGGUUAACCCGUGUGGGGUAGCCGUAGCGAAAGCGAGUCCGAAUAGGGCGUUGCAGUGGCAUGUUCUAGACCCGAAGCGGAGUGAUCUACCCAUGGCCAGGGUGAAGCGACGGUAAGACGUCGUGGAGGCCCGAACCCACUUAGGUUGAAAACUGAGGGGAUGAGUUGUGGGUAGGGGUGAAAGGCCAAUCAAACUCCGUGAUAGCUGGUUCUCCCCGAAAUGCAUUUAGGUGCAGCGUCGCGUGUUUCUCACCGGAGGUAGAGCUACUGGAUGGUCUAGGGGGCCCACAAGCUUACCGAAAUCAGCCAAACUCCGAAUGCCGGUGAGUGAGAGCGCGGCAGUGAGACUGCGGGGGAUAAGCUUCGUAGUCGAGAGGGAAACAGCCCAGAUCGCCGGCUAAGGCCCCUAAGCGUGUACUAAGUGGAAAAGGAUGUGGGAUCGCUGAGACAACCAGGAGGUUGGCUUAGAAGCAGCCACCCUUGAAAGAGUGCGUAAUAGCUCACUGGUCAAGUGGUUCUGCGCCGACAAUGUAGCGGGGCUCAAGUACACCGCCGAAGCCGCGGCAUUCACAUAACACCCGCAUGUUUCUACGGAAGUGUGUGCAGUGGUGUGGAUGGGUAGGGGAGCGUCGUGUGGCCAUGGAAGCAUCGGGGUGACCUAGGUGUGGAGGCCAUGCGAGUGAGAAUGCAGGCAUGAGUAGCGAAAGACGAGUGAGAAACUCGUCCGCCGAAUGACCAAGGGUUCCUGGGCCAGGUUAAUCCGCCCAGGGUGAGUCGGGACCUAAGGCGAGGCCGACAGGCGUAGUCGAUGGACAACGGGUUGAUAUUCCCGUACCCGUGUGAACGCGCCCAUGAUGAAUCAUCGGUACUAACCGUCCAGAAGGUUCCUUUUUCCCUUCGGGGGAUCUGGGAUUGGAUGCACGGGACCUUCGGUGGUAGUAGUCAAGCGAUGGGGUGACGCAGGAAGGUAGUGGGGCCAGUCAGUGGUAAUACUGGUGUAAGCCUGUAGGGCGUGACAUAGGUAAAUCCGUGUCGCAUAUAGCCUGAGAGGUGAUGCGUACCCGUUGAGGGGAAUUCCAUGAUCCUAUGCUGCCGAGAAAAGCCUCUAGCGAGCUUUCACACGGCCCGUACCCCAAACCGACACAGGUGGUCAGGUAGAGAAUACUAAGGCGAUCGAGAUAACUGUGGUUAAGGAACUCGGCAAAAUGCCCCCGUAACUUCGGGAGAAGGGGGACCAUGUCUGGUGAUGGAAUUUACUUCCUGAGCUGGGUGUGGUCGCAGAGACCAGAGAGAAGCGACUGUUUACUAAAAACACAGGUCCGUGCGAAGUCGUAAGACGAUGUAUACGGACUGACGCCUGCCCGGUGCUGGAAGGUUAAGAGGACCGGUUAGUCACUUCGGUGGCGAAGCUGAGAAUUUAAGCCCCAGUAAACGGCGGUGGUAACUAUAACCAUCCUAAGGUAGCGAAAUUCCUUGUCGGGUAAGUUCCGACCUGCACGAAUGGCGUAACGACUUCUCUGCUGUCUCAACCACAGACUCGGCGAAAUUGCAUUACGAGUAAAGAUGCUCGUUACGCGCGGCAGGACGAAAAGACCCCGGGACCUUCACUAUAGCUUGGUAUUGGUGUUCGGUUCGGUUUGUGUAGGAUAGGUGGGAGACUGUGAAGCGGUGACGCCAGUUACUGUGGAGUCGUUGUUGAAAUACCACUCUGAUCGUAUUGGAUAUCUAACCUCGGACCAUGAUCUGGUUCAGGGACAGUGCCUGGUGGGUAGUUUAACUGGGGCGGUUGCCUCCCAAAAUGUAACGGAGGCGCCCAAAGGUUCCCUCAGCCUGGUUGGCAAUCAGGUGUUGAGUGCAAGUGCACAAGGGAGCUUGACUGUGAGACUGACAAGUCGAGCAGGGACGAAAGUCGGGACUAGUGAUCCGGCACCGGCAUGUGGAAGCGGUGUCGCUCAACGGAUAAAAGGUACCCCGGGGAUAACAGGCUGAUCUUCCCCAAGAGUCCAUAUCGACGGGAUGGUUUGGCACCUCGAUGUCGGCUCGUCGCAUCCUGGGGCUGGAGUAGGUCCCAAGGGUUGGGCUGUUCGCCCAUUAAAGCGGCACGCGAGCUGGGUUUAGAACGUCGUGAGACAGUUCGGUCUCUAUCCGCCGCGCGCGUUAGAAACUUGAGGAAGGCUGUCCCUAGUACGAGAGGACCGGGACGGACGAACCUCUGGUGUGCCAGUUGUCCCGCCAGGGGCACUGCUGGUUGGCUACGUUCGGAAGGGAUAACCGCUGAAAGCAUCUAAGCGGGAAGCCUGUUCCAAGAUGAGGUUUCUCACCCCCUCGAGGGGGUAAGGCCCCCGGCAGACCACCGGGUUGAUAGGCCAGAACUGGAAGUGCGGUAACGCAUGGAGGUGACUGGUACUAAUAGGCCGAGGACUUUCUAAC